UCUUUUCAGAAGCUUUACACUGUAAGCUAAUGGUAAAUUUUCCUUAGUUCAUGAAACUUUAGCUAUCUGAAGAUGGAGUGGAAAUGUAAAUAUUGUGGUUUUAUUAGUGUGAAGAAGGCGCAGCUAUUUAAACACUACCAAUUAAAACAUGGAAGUUACACAAGGACAAUACCAUUUCCUUGUUUGCACCAGGACUGUUUGUGCACAUUCAAUUCCUUAAACAGCCUUAAAGCACACAUAUCUCGUGUUCACUCUAAAACUCAUGAGGAACAACCAGGAGAAAAUGAACCUGUCAAAUUCUGCUGUCAGUUGUGUGAAUUCAUUGAGCCCUGCUCUGAAACUGAAUUUUUCACCCACCUCCGAAGCAGACACUUGAAAGUGAAGUAACAGGUGGGGUCCAGUUGGUAAAUAGCUAUGCUGUGUAUUAUUGUUUGUGUGUGUGCACAGUGUUCAGGAUAACAAAUGGACCCUAUUUUAACUGUGUGAUGUCCUCUCUGCUCCCUCAAUCCACCAGGCUUCGGAUGUGACAGAAGUCAGAUGCCUUGUCCUCAGGGGGCUUCCUGUCCUUCUUGGCGAUGAUCCAUCCGCCUUCUUCAAGGCCUGCUUUAACGUUGAUGAUGAGGAAGGUUUGUACAAUGAUGUGCCAGUGGGAAUCCUGUGCCAUGAACAGCAAAACAUCACUCCACACACCCAGUCUCUUCACCACAAUGCAUCCUCAGUGGGAAUCAUCUUGGAGGGAAACAUUGUGAUGGAUGUUGAGAGCCUGCCCCAGGCCAUGUACAUCGUCUUCGGACUUACCUAUGCACUGCAUCUCAACUACCCAAAGUACAUGGAGAACACUUCCAACAGGGAAACAGGCUGAGGUGUUGGAGCGCAGAGACGCUGUUCGCUGCAGCUGAGCGCCCAGAUUAACCUGUCACACAGCUUCGUACCAUCGAUCGCGUUUCUAUUCCGCUAUGUUUGCAACAUGAAGAUCUGGACGGCUUACGUAUUUGACGCCAUCCCAUCAGGCACCAUCAUGCUUUUUAGAUAUUCUGGCAGACUUCCACCUGCUUCUGUCUCCCUCCCCGAUGUGGCUGAAUCACCAGUAGGUACAAUCUGUUUUUCCCAACUUCCUAAAAAUAAUAAGAACAUCCGUGCUUUAUUUCAGAAAGAAAUAGUUUCUAUGACAAAUGUUUAAUUUUACUGGAACCGAUUUGUAAAUGACACUGACUGGAAAAAGGUUUGGAUGAUUCCUCACAGAUACUUGAAAGUAAACAAGGUGAAAGUGUCGUUCAGAAGAAGUCACAGAUAUUACCCUGCAAAUCAUUACAUGGUUAAAUUAAAGAGACAUCAAUACAAACUGUUCUUUUUGUGAAGACCGCCCAGAAACUGUUUUGCACCUCUUUUGGUUUUGCUCACACAACAGAACAUUUUGGCAAAACCUCAGCAGAUUAAUCAUUGACCUCAUCUAUAAAGACUUUGCCUUACUGUGGAAGAAUGUUGUAUUUUGCUUUUAUAGAAGUCAAAGUGAAGAAAAGUUGUACUUCAUUAUAAAAUGAUUAAUUCUUUUGGCAAAAUUUCACAUUCAUAAAUGCAAAUCCAGCGCUAAAAAACCUAAUUUUAUACUUUUUUUCCACAAAGUUGUGCUUUAUAUUAAUCUGAUUUCUGGCUCCAACAACAGAAAGGCAGUUAAAACUGUCAACAUGUGGUCCUCUCUCUCUUUGUAAUGACCUGUAGGCGGCUGUGUUUUAUAUAUGUAUUUGUAUACUGUUCUGUAUAUCUUUAUAAGUCACAUCUGAAUUGUAACCCCCUUUAUGCAUUAAAGAUGACUUUAAAUUAAAAAAUGAAAACAUU